rnacentral:lncRNA from 1 species
CCCGGACGCCCGCAUCCAGCCCGCGAGCGACCGAGCGGACCUCCGCGCAGAGGCCGCGGCACGGCGCCCCCCCGGCCCAAUCUUCUGACCCAAGGGAGAUGAAAAGGAUGCCCACCCUCAGGACUGCAGAGCCUGCAGGUGCACAGACUCGCUCAAAGGUUUCUGAACCCAGUGGAUGUACAGUGCAAUUCAGCCACCUGGGGAUGACGCUGGUGACAUGUGUCCUGGAAUUACACGCUUAGUGCUGUGCAGGAUGCUGGGGAUUCUCAGGAAGGCCUUGGCCUUGGCAGGGUACUACGGAGUCUCACAGCCUGGAUGCCACAGGGGACCUGGCCAUGCCUCCCCAGGAGGGCAGAGCUCGCCAGCCUCGUGGGAAGUUUUGUGAGAUCUCCGCCAGCUCCUGGGGUCCCUCAGAAAUGCCUCGAUCACACAGGGCACCAGGUGAGAAAAUGUGCUCAUGAACAAAUCGCCGACACCCAGCGUGCCCGCGUCCCACAGUGACCAGUUGCUCACGGAGACAUCGGCCAGUGCGCUGCAGGAGCAGCAGCAGCUCCCUCCCGGCUUAACCCGUGCUGCAUGGCCCCUCUGCGAAGCAACCCGGCCAAGGCCCAGCUCACCUGCAGGCUGGGCCAGGAAGCCUGGCUCCCUAGACGCAGAGUCCUGUUGCGGCUGGGAUUUAGGUGCUUUUAACCUGAAAAUGGUGCAUAUCCUGUCAGCACUGCAGAAGAACUCGAGGACCUCUUGGCCUGGGCUCAAUCUGGAGUAUUUGGGAACUUGGAGAAUGGAGGAAUAUGCACGUAGAUGACUCCCAAGUUUCACCACUCUUCAAAUGAACACAAAUGACUUUGAAAUCAUCAUGACUUUCGAUUUGGGGAUUACACAUCAACUUUGAUGAGCAGGAAAAUUGCAUGGAGAAAAUCCACAAAUCGGAAGAGCAGAUGGUACAUCACGAUCAAGUGGACAGGUGUCCAGCACACAGGUAGUAGCGGGAUCCCGAUGGACACCCACUCGUCUCCUGCUCUGGUCGUGUAGAUUGUGUUGGAUUUUGUAACCAUUCCACAGGGUGCAGCAUGAAUUCUCCUACACCCUCCCCGCAUGGUUAGUGUGGUGAAGGAAACAGGUGAGUAGGGUUGGACCCUGCCCUCACACACUUGCAAUUGAACAGGGAAAGUGUGACCCACGUGACAGGGCCAUCUGGGCCAGAAAGCCAUCUGGCCAUCCCCAUCCCCAGAACCUUGGGAUGGGAAGUCCAGGUGAGGGUGGGUGCCUGGCUUUCCUGGGUCAGCUGCAUGCUGCUCAGAUGCCAGGAACAUGGAGGACAGCAGGGAGGGGCCUGUGAGGUCAUCACCACCCGUUAGGGACAGGGGGACAGGGGUGCAGCCUAGAGGGAGGACUGAUGGGGUCAUGCUCACCAGACGGACCUCACAGCCAGGUGUCCCCACCUGAGCUAGCCCUCACACUGAGAUCGCGGGUGGUGUAUUCCCACGCACUGUGUCUGUGUCUGGUGUCUCCAUACCCAGAGGGCCUUCUCCGUAUGCUCAUGGCAGAGCAGGGGGGAGGUUUGUGAGGUGCCGACUCUCCUGCUGUCUGGGUCACUGAACAAUUAGAAUUUUGUUGUCUGCACAGCUGAUACAGUCAGCUGCCUGCUCAAAUGAAUAGGACCUGGACAUCAACCGCUGCACGCGCAUUGACAGCCACCCUUGAUAUGUCACCUGUCGGACACAAGGUCUGUCUCUAGGGGACUCUGCUCUUAACUAGAGAUGAUGCCGUGUGUGCGUGAGCUGCAGAUCACAUUCAAGUCCUGCAUUCUCCAGGACUGGAUGGAUUUCCAGCCCCGCUCCUGCAUCCCCAGUGUUUGGAACCAUCUUUGAACCAGUAGGUCUGUCUUGAGAUCCUUUCCAGAAUCCCGUUGUACAUGUACACAAGUGUUGGCUGCCGUGGUAUUUGUGACCAAGAAAAGUCAGAAACAGCUUCAAUCCCACGUCUUAGGGGGAUGGUUAAAGAGCAGUGCAGCACAUGCAGAGAAUUCAUUCUUCAGCCACGUAGACAGGAGGAUGACAAUUAAAAUGGCAACAUUACAGGGAAAAGACACAGCAUGGAAAUUGUACACAUGGCUAGAUGAUAGAAAAAGAAAAGACAAAGAUGCCACCAAAGGGCAAAUAAAAGUGCCUGCAGAUCGGCAGCCAUGUCCUGCUUAGCUGCCCUCGCCAGUCAUCUGGGCUGGAUGUCAGUGAAUACUGUGGGGAAAAAGGGCAGCCAUCCCAUUUCUAUGAUUAGGCUCCGGAAACCCCUGGCUCUGAGCUGCCCUUCACCCCACUACAUGUGGCGGCAUCUUCAGCAUCUUCACCGCUGCAUGGAACGGUGUCUUUGUUACCGUGUGUCACAGCGUCUCCACUGUGACACGCACUGACUCCUGUGUGCUUGUUGUACUGAGCGGUCACAGGGGAAGGGAGAUCUGGAGAAGUACCAGGGUGCUAGGUACAGAAUGUUGCAGGUGGCAACAGCAGUGAAAGCUGGGGUCAAGCAGCAAGCGCUUCCUUGGGGCGCCUCUGCUGUCUGUGACGUUGUCCUCUCCUACUGGGGAGGAGCCCGUGUCAAAGAGUGGGCUACAGAGAGCUUUGCAGACAGCAGAGCUGUGCACCCAGAAUAGGUACCUAGAGCUGCUGUCUGGGACCCACCAGCCUUCCCCACAUAGAACUCCCUGGCUCUGACAGCUGGCGGAGGCUGGCCCUGAAGGAGCACUCCGAUUCCUUGCUGAUCGAGUCUGAUUCCUAAUGAUUUUAGCAGGUGGCCCUAUGGUCCAGGGCUUCCCCUGAGGAAGGCCUUUCCCUGGGAGGUGAGCCCAGUUUUGGGAUAAGCCAGCAGUGCAGCUGAUCGGGCUGCUUGGUGCUCACAGUGUAGUCAGCAGGAGGUGACCCGUCCUUAGUAUGUUGUGCUGCCUUCCGAAGGCAGCCUUGGAAAUGGGAGGGCAGCAGAAGAGCUUUGCUCUAUGUUCAUUCUUUUUUAUAUUUGGAAGAUAAUAGAGGACAUUCAGAAUUGCCACCAUCACAGCAUUUUACAAACUAGCAAUAUAAAGAAGGAAGAGUAACCACUGCUAGCUCGGAACUGGACUCACCCCUUCUUGAAAUAGUCCCCGUUCUCAGUUUAUGGGAACCCAGUGUUGAGGUGGUAAACGCCUCACAGGAUGAAAUCCCACUGUGGCUGAUUUGAGACCUCUAAAGGUUAAAACCUUAUUGGCAAUCUUCUUGAAUAUGUAACAGUCAGCUUUCUCAAGCCUGUACACGCUCACACAGUUUUUGGUUUCUUCUGCUUCUGCUUCCUCUACUACUACUACUUUUUUUUCUUCUCUUUCUCUUCCUUCCUUUUCCUCCUUCCUGUUCUUCCUCCUGUUCUCUUUCCUUCACCUCUUCUCCCUCUGGAGUUGGAAACCCAUUAUCAUAUUAGACAGCACACCAUUUCCAUUUCCUGUGUCACAUGAAGUCCUCUUGGCUCCUUUUUCUCAUGCAGUAGGGUUUCCAUGAAGAUGAACUGUGUUGUCUCUAAGCAUUCUGGAAGGGCAGGGUGGUCUGGUGGGGCAGGGAAGGGUGACAGCGACCCUUGUCAUUCAGGGCCUGACUCCUGCAGUGCUGUCCACAUCUGGCUUUUCUCUGCUCUGGUUAUGGCCUCUUCUAAACAUGCUCCUGGUGGCACAGUGAAGGCUGGGUGAUCUUUUCCUCCCUUCCCCUCCUGCUCAUUUCCAGAGUUCAGAAGAGAACCUCAUUCUCCUUGUGGCAAACUUUUCUUGGUGCACCCUCAUUCUUAAGCCCCUCAGGUGCCCCCUCCACCUGUCCUUAGAAACUGAGCUCCCUCCAAGCACACCUUAGCCAUUAUGGCAUGGAGUCCACCUACUUCCUGUCGAGAAGUAGAGAAGCUCUGGGGGCACAGUGGUGUCCACUCCUAGUCCCAAGUGUUAUUUGUAUGAAUGUGUUACUUUGCACACAGAAGGGUCUUUGCAAACGUCAUUAAGGUUACUGAUCAGUUGACUUUCAGUGAGGAGAUUGUGCUAAAUUAACCCAGUAGACGAAUUCUAAUCCCAGGGACCCUCUAAUGCAGAGAACUUUCUCUGAUUGGAUCAGAGGUGCAGAAGAGAAGAGUCAGAGAGAUCCUGAGUGUGCGGAGAGUUGAUGCAGUGCGGUUGGAUCUGCCAUGUGGAGCUCACAGGCAUGGACUGAUUUCUAAGGUGACCCUCAGCCAAGAGCCAGCAAAGAAGUAGGAUCUGCCUGCAGGGAACCCAGGUUGGCAAUAACACAAAUAGGCUUGAAGAGGGCCCUUCCGGAAGCCUCCAGGUCAGAGCCAGCUGACCCUUACCCUAAGUGCGGCUUUGAAGCCUGACUCAGAGACAGCAGAUACCCAGCUCACACCGAUGGCCAGAGCCGUGAUCUUGUGAGUGUGUGAUUUUAAACCGUGGAAUGAGUGUAACUUGUUACAGUGGCUGUAGAAAACAGACACAGGACCCUAGUGGCUGGGAACAGGUUCUGGGCCCCUCUCCUGGGGUCUUUGCUUGUUCCUGAGGAUCCUCACACAUCCAAGCACAGGUCCCACAGUGAACAGAUUCUCCCUUCCCCCUUCCCAUCUGCAGUCGACACUCAGUGGGUUUUACCCCUGCUCCCUGGACCUCAGUUCAGACCCCUGGGGUGUUUUAGCAGCUUCCUGUGGGUCUCCCAGCCCUGGGCCCCCUAUUUCCAGCUGCCCCCCACUAAUGCAGCUCUGCUCUCAGGACUCAUUCCUCCCCGACAGGCAUCCUGCGCUUUGCCUCUUCUCAGUGAAACAGGUAUAGGUCCAGCAGCCUAAAAUUCACAGCCUUUCGUAGGGAAGGGAGCAUGACAUCUCCGUCCUCACCUCCCAGGACUCUCUCUUGGGCAUUUGCAUUCUUGUUUUGUCCCCUGCAUUUUCUCAGCCCCAGGAUUCUUGGGAGUCCUGCAGGGAAGGAGUCCCCAACCCUGGGCCAUGGACUGGUACUGGUCCAUGGCGUGUUAGGAACCAGGCUGCGUAGCAGGAGGCAAGCAGCUGGAGAGGGAAGCUUCCCCUGUAUCUACAGCUGCUCCCGCCCCUUGCCUGAGCUCCGCCUCCCCCUCCUGUCAGAUCAGCAGGGCAUUAGGUUCUCCUAGGAGCUCAAACCCACCCUGAGCUGCACAUGCAAAGGGAUCUAGGUCGCGUGCUCCUUUGAAUUAUCCUGAAACACCCUGCCCCCACUUUGUGGAAAAAUUGUCUUCCACCAAACCAUCCCUGGUCCCAGAAAGUUUGGGGACCACUGCUGUAGGGCCCUGCCCGUGGGCCAUUGAGUCCCAGCAGGCUUCCAGGAAGCCGUAGAGCUGCCGCCCUUGAGAUGUGUGGUGCUGAAGCUCAGUGUCCCUGUCACACCCUAAGUGACCUGAGUAGGGCCUUCCACCAUCCCAGCUCGGUGUGUGCACAGUGCUUAGGAGUCCUGAGCAUACCUAUGCUCACACGCUGACUGGGGUACAUCCCACCGGAAGGAGAAAGGCAAGCUUAUCAUGUUAGGCACAGUGCCUGAAUCACUCAUUAAAUAGCUCUUAAAUGAGUAUUUCAUGAAUUCCUUUUGCUGUAUUUUGAAAUAGAUGCCCCAAGUACUGGAAAAGAUCCUCAGUAUUUUUAGCACACUUUUCCUGUUACAGUGUUUCUGGGUAUAGCGGCUGCUUAUGCUGAGUUUGAAGGUGGUCCAAACUUGGCAGGUGUGUUACUGUGUUUGACAGAGUAAGACUAUUGCAUUGCUGUCAGGAUAAUUGCUAACACAUAUCAAGCACCUGUGAUCUCCAUGAGUUAGGUCAGUUAACCCUUACAGCAGUGCUCUGACGCUGGAUUAUCCAUGUCUGAGUGUUAUGGAUGAGGAAUCCAGAGUGCAGAAAGGUGAAGUGAUCUACUCAAGGUUAUGCAGCUGGCUGAUAGCAGAGCUGAUUUCCUUCCCAGCCAGUCGCAGUUCCACUCCUUCUAUGGCUACCAUUUCGUCCUUUGAUCAGAGGCAGGAAAACCCCCCAUUCUCGAUCGAAAAUCAUCAUUAGCAUUAUUUCUACAGUUCAUCACUAAUCUGCAACACCUCACAUAUGCACCGGGCUUUGAAAGGCUUUGCUCUUUGUUCUCUUAGCAGAGGGCGGCGGGAGGCUGGUGGGUGGGGCAAGGGCGAUUCUGUGUCCUGCAUGUGUCCCGAGUAGAAGGACCACGUCCGGAGUCACAGCUGCACUGAGUCCCCGAUGCGGAGGACUGAGGCCCAUCUCAGGCGCGGAUGCCCCCAACCCUGCCCUCCAGGAACACAGCCCGCCCACCUGUGCCCUGGGCUGCUCCCACCCACGCCGGAGGGCUGGCCACGGAGCCCUCCUUGGAAGUGAGGCCUGGGCUGGGGACGAGGGCACAGCAUUUCCCUGCAAUCUUGAUCUUUGGCCUGUGGGUUUGUCCUUGGCGAGGGUCUGAGGGUCUGUCCUCAGUUGUGAUAAGAGGUCUCGUUUCUUUCUUCCCUCUGCUUUCCCCAAGCCAAGGAAACAUGGAAUCGGGAGGGGAAAAUGGCUCUCCCUGUUGCACCCAAGAACAGCCUGCUGGAGUCUGUGCUGAGGCUGCUGGUGGGAGGCCCGGCCUGUCCUCAGAGGCCACGUCUGCAGCGAGGUUCUGCAGACCGAGCCAGUGCACAGCCCGGGGCCUCCCGGCUGUCUGGGCCCUGGUGGCCCCACAGGCCUUCCCUGUCCCGAGUGCGCCUCCAGAACACACCGUGUCUUUGGCCCGGAACGGCCUCCCGCUGGGGAGCCUCGUGUCUCCCACUCCCUGUCUCGUCCACCUCCCAUCCUGUGUGACUUCAGUCAGGAUGCAGGGAAGUCCUUCCCUCAAGUGAAGACAGCCGUCCAGGUUUUCAGCCUGGGUGUUGACUUCCUCUCGAAUCCCCAGUGCUUGGACACAAGGUCAUGGACCGCACUAGAGGAGGUGAGAUGGGCUGUGCAUUAGACAGGGCUGACGUCAAGUUCAGGCUGGGCUCGGGCGGCUGGCUGUGUGGCCCUGGGCAAGCUCCUUCACCGUGAGGCUCCUUCGUCCCCGUUGGAAGCAGGAGGAAAUUGCCCCAGCAAGGCCUGAGGGACUAAAAGAAGGCAGAGGAGGGCCACCUUCCUAGAUGCCACCUCAUUAGAUGGUGGCCCGGCAGGGAGGGUUCAAGAAGCCAGAGUGAGGCGGUGGGAGGAGGAAACGAAGUGAUGUGACCAAGUUGUUUUGCACUGCAAAGGCACCAGUGCAAAUAGGCCACGAUCCCAGAUCCCAGAGCUCGGCCCUGAGUCCUGGGGCCGUGUGCAAGGUGAACCGGACUCCCGUCUUUGUGAGGUCAAGGCCAGUGGGCAGCACCCAUGAGGACAGGGGACCUGGCCAUGGGCUCAGAGUGCCGAAAGCAGCUGGAGUCCUCAGCUUAGUAAACACGGGGCGCCAUACUCUGGCUUCCCUGUGCCUUGUUUGUCACCUGAGGAAAGACCGUCAGCCUCUGCCUGGCUCUCAGGGUACUGUAGGGGUUAGAUGAGGUCGCGGGUGCACACAGCUACAGUAGUGCUUGGUGUGCAGAGUGUGCGGGGCAUUAGUUACUAUUGUCACUGACUGGCCCUCUCGGCCGGUUGUGUGUGCGUUUGUGGCUCUUUCCCCGUGGGAAUGCGAACACUUCGCAGCUUUGGCGUGAUGGCUUGUCUGGCUCCCUCCUCUGUUCUGGAACAAGAGCUCAGUGUGUUCUGAGAAACCUGCAGCAUCGCCCCAGGAGUUUAUCAACAGCAGGAACUCGGGGGCCUUCCCAGAGUCUCAGCGCCAGAUGCCAGUGCCGGGCCCUGUCUGUCUCGGCCCAGCAGCGCUGCGCAGCAUGUGGUGUUCACUACGUGCUGUGCGCCCUGUCUCCCCAGGGGAAGCAGGACAUUUGGGGCAGGAUGAGGGUGGAGUGGAUCAAUUAAGGUGGGGUCUUUGGCUGAACUUUACCCUGGGUUUAUGGAGCUUGGAAACACAAAAAAGGUUGCAUUCCUUUCUGUGGAACUGCUUAAUCCACACGCACUCUCCAGACAGGGCUGCUGCUUGGUGCCAGCGGCUUCUCCCAGCACUGCUUGCUUCCAUUCCAAAGUGGGGAAGGGAGAGCUUUAGAGGGCCAGGUGGGUACUUCCUGGGCCCUCGCACUUAGGCCAUUUGUACCUAAGAUGCAACAAAGAAUCCCCAGCCGGCUUGAAACUGUCUCAUGCUAGUGCUGGUGUUCAAGUGCUGCUUCUGUCGUGGCCAUGCCUAACAGCAGCCAGCCAGGGCUUGGUGCAGACUGGACAGUCUGAGCUCAGGCUAUAUGCCUAGCACACACAUGGCCUUGGGCUCAAUCCCCAGCACCACCCCCCCCCCCAACAAAAACAGAAAACCCGAGUUCAAGUCCUGACUCAGAUGCUUAGCUCUGUUGCUUUUCUUCAGUAACGUAACAUCGUGGGCCCUCCCCUCUUCCAUCGGUAAAGCCAUGUGGUGAGGUGACAGAAAUGGCCCAGUGCUUCACUCAUUCUUGUAACUUGCACAGUGCCCAGUCACGUGAUUCAUUAGACUGCGCUGUUAGCAGACACCUUUGCAGCCGAGCUUGGAAAGUGUUUUGUUUCUACUGUUGAACCUUUUCCAUCAGCAAGAAAGGGGUAUUUCUGGGACAGCCCUUGGGCUCCAGCAGAGGGGUGAUUGUAUGUACAAUGUAACCAGGGUGCUGUGUCUGAUCUUGGACAAGUACACAGUGAGUCACGCCCUGGACCCCUGAGUGAGCCCAGCAGAGUUCAUCUAAGCUGACCACUCGGUGAGUGACACCUGAUACUUAUGCCACUGAGGUUUUGUUACACAGCAUUGUUUUGGUGAUUGAUACAGCAGGAAUGUCACUUAUAACUCUUGGAUGGCUUGAAUUCUGUAAGAGCAGGAUGGUACCCUGUGGACUGCCCAGUCCUUCAAAUCCGUGUUGACUGAGUGAUCUAAUAAAGAGAAGUUUGUAACCCUCUGCGGUUCUGUCUGGCAUAACACCGGUUCCCUCUGCUUACAGCAUCUCUGAUUGGGGUCACUGCUGUUUCCCAUCCACUUGGUAUCCAGCAAAGGCAGACAGAAAGACAGAAAGACAGAGGAAAUUGGAGACUGAGUAGCUAGGCUCUGGUUUUAUGCACAAAGCGAAGGCUCAGUAAGUCUUACUUGCUCCCCUGAAUACUUUGGGUCCCGAGUCCCAUGGCAAGCCUGGUAAUUCCUCAAGGGAAAGCGACUUGGAGCACAGCACAGUGAGCUGGACAGAGAGUGGUGCCUGUGUCGGGUGCUCGGUCUGUAGCAGGCACUUCUUGUCCGUCCAUUCUUGUUUGAUUCUGCAGAGAGGAAUUGAUCUGGAGGUAGAAACUCCGCUCAGAGACAGGAAGCGAGCAAGCAGAUGCACACCGCUGGCAAGGUAGCUGACGAACUCUGGAGUCCAGGGCUGCUCUGCAGCCAAGAAUAGCUUCUUUAAGCCCUUCCCUGCAGGCGGGGACCCUGGCCAGCAUCCAGGCCACACUCUGUGCAAGCCAAGCAGGGAUCCUGCCUGGUGGAGGUGACUGGCCAGCUCAAACUGCACAGUUGUCGGCGUGGCCAGGUUGCUGGGCGCCUCCUUCAGUGCCGCUGGUGUGACUCGGACCUUGUGGGUGAGUGAGCCUCACCAAAGUGCCUGGAUCUGGUUUCCACGAGGGUCUGAAUGGCGUUGGCUCUCCAUCUGCAAGGGUGCGCUGUCCAUCCUGAGCCCUGGGUCCUCUCCGGCUGCCUUUCAGGGAUCCUGGCCGAGUCAGCAGGACCAUAGGGCCGGCUGGCGGCAGGGCAGUGUAUCCUGACCACCAUCCUGGGCUGAGGAGCGAAGCCCCAGUCCGGUCCCCUGUCCCUGGCCUGUCCUCCCCAGCCUGCCAGCUCCAAGGGCGGGAAUGGGGCCAGCGCCGGGAGCUUCUCGGGCUUCUGCUCCUGCUGGCACUGGCUGGGCAGGAGCUCUGCUUGGCUGGCUGCCCUGGGCACUUGCCACCCUUGUGUGUUUGCUUGGCCAUCGGGGUGAGGAAGCAGGAUGCUUUCCAUUGGACCCUGGGCGUUCCGGGCUUCAGGGGCCAGCGGCCAGCCAGGGCGGGAUCUGCCAUCCGUGCCUCCGUCUGUCCUCUUUGUCCCUCUCCCUCUCCUACCUGGCAGGCAGUUCAUAAUCCCGCCACCACCUGAUGCCGCGGGGGAGCAGGGGGAGGCCCACUGCUGUGCAGAGCAGGAACACUGGUGAGGGCCGCCCGAGAGCCUGCCUCAGGCACCUCCAGCCUCGGAGGGAGAGGGACUGUGGCACCCCGGCACCCUUCUCCCACGCCCAGCUGCACCAUUCCCAGACCAUCUGGGCCUCGUCCACAGCGUUUGUUUGAGUGGUGGUGAGACCUCUGGCACCACUCUGCCUGUCUUUGGUUAGAGCAGACAUAGGGAUGAUUUACAAUCACCCAGGAUCUCAGCAUGACUUCCUGUUAGGGUCAGGGAGAGACGCACUCCUGGGCCGUGCUACCUUGCUGAGACAGAGGCUGGCCAUGGAGAGAGCCACUGGUGCCCUGUGAGUGGCAUAUUCCCAGGAGCCCCAUGUUCUGGGUGGGGUAACUGAGGCCAGGAGCACUGGAGCCCUACACAGGGCCUUCCCGGUAGGGUAGGCAGAGAGCACACGGAAGGAAGCCGGGCUCCCCUCCCCCUCCCAAAGCAGCUUGCGUUCCCGCUGUCUGGCGCGGCGGGCAUUGUAGUACGCCUGGGCUUUGCUGAGGGUGCCUGCCCUCAGAGGGAACCUGGGGUGCCAGGGCUGUGGACACGGAGAGAAAGGCCUUUCUGGUCCUUGGCUCGGCUCGGCUCCUACGUUUUUCAGACAGGAAGGUCCCCAGGGCCAUGAUCGCCCCGCCCCACAGAGGACAGCAGAGCUGGGAGGUGAACGGGACACUGCCAUGCCUCUGGUUCACUGAGUGCCGAGGAGUGCAGGGUGAGUGACUUUCUGAACACAUGGACACCUCCCUGAGUCCCUUCAGUUCCUCACAGACCAAGGGCCUGGUCUCUGCUGGGCCUGCCUCAGCCCCUCAUUGUUCGGGGGACCCACUGUGGCCUCCUACCGUGCCCUGUCUUCCUCAUGUGGGUGGGUCCCCAGGGCUGCCUGUACCCCACCCUUCCCUCCAGCCCUCCCUGUGCUGCCCCCCUUCCCGACCUGUGUCCCGCCCUGGGCUCGCACCAGCCUUGCCCACAGCGACCUCCUUCUGUUCAGGCGGCUCUUGCAGGCAGACCUGUCCAACCUGGCCGGCUGGCCUGCUUCACAGCCUCCUUUGAAGCCUUGACAGGCGGCCAACAGAGCUGGCCAGGCGCAGGAGGCAGGGUGCUGGUGCCAAGGCCCUGACAGCCACUUCCCGCCCUGCCCUGUCUGCUCCAGGACCGGGCUGAUCCAAGGCCUGCUCAACAGGGACAGAAGGGCCCGGCUGUGAAGGGCCUGGGCUGGCCUGGACAGGGCGCCUGGAGCUGCGGCUGGGCUGUUCCCUUCUCAGCCUCCCCUUCCCACAGGGAUGUGCUCAGCUUUCUCCCAGCCCCGCAGCCCACAGCCUCUGUCCCCACGAGGAGACCUCAUGCGGAACGCACUCUGAGGAGAGCCUGGACGGGCGGAGGGAAGGACCUGCCCUGAGUGCCUCCUCACUGUGCUGUCUGAAGCCGUGGGACCCACCAGCCGCCUGCCUCAGGGCCUCUCUGUAAGUAGGGAUGCCAGAGUACCCAGUUCCGGCCCUGCAGAGGGCAGCGUGGAAGCCUCCUCGAUGCCCACUGCGGAUGUGGUUGCUUGGUGGGGAGUCUGCACCCCGGGAUGCUCAGGAGCCAGCUGACCCCGCGCCCUGCUGGUGUGGUCCCCUGUCCCACUGCCUGUCUGCCUCUGUUCCCCAGCUACAGAGCCAGGGGAGGAAGGGAAUCUUCCUAUAAAAUUUGAGAAACUCAGAUAUGCAGAAGAAAACUGAAAGUACUUGUUAUUCGCCUGAUAGGUACAGCCAGGAGCACACAGGUGCACACAAAAUGUCCAGGCAUCCUAGAGUAGCCAGUGUCUAAGCUACAUAUAUUUGGUAUGUUUAUUACCAUUCAUAUACAUCUUAUCCACACAUAUAUAAUGCCUGUUGUAUACAUUUCAUUUCCUGUUGGACAUUCCUUAUACAGGAUGUGAAAAAUAAUAAAGAAUAGGCGCCAGUGGUCAUAGUAACCAGUUUUCACCACUUAACCUGAGGUGGACUUUUCUCCUCUUAGGAGAUUUUUCUGCAGGGAGCAUUUGCGGCACCCGGCAUAUCACCAUAUGGAUACACCGCACCCACCUUACAGAGGAGGGGUGGAAGCUCUGAGAAGCGACACACCUGGCCUCCCCAGAUCACCCAGCUCUCGGGGCACAGCUGACACCCAGGCCUUCUCCGUGGAGGUUUCUGUGGUUCCAGGGACAGAUUCAGCAGGAAUCUAAAUCCUGUGAGAACAGGGCCCUGGGUUCCCCCAUCACCGGCAUCUCCCUGCACCUGUCACCUGUCACCAGGCAGGUUUCCUGUUAGUUACUGAGUCAACGAAAGCAGGGACUUAAAUCCCUUUCCUUUCCUGCUCAAAGCCCCUCACUGUUCGGCGUGCCUUCCCGUGUGGACCCCUUGCUAGCCUGUGUACCUCGCAAGCCUGGGACCGUGUCCGACGACCUUUCAGUCUGAGGCCCCAAUCCCAGCCUGCCCUGCAGCAGGUGCUCCCUGAACGACAGUGGAAUAUGGAAGCAGCAGUCCAUUCUGAGCUUUGGGCCAUGCUUUCCCCACACAGUCUUUCCGACCUCUUUUGUCACACAGAGGUUAAGUUACCUGGACUCACCACGUUGGCAGCAGUCUGCCUACUACCGUUGGUCCAGGAGGAGUUGGAUGUCUGCCCCUGCCAGUCACCUGGAGCUGGCACACCUGGGUUGUUCCGGGGCAGAUCCGAUGGCCCAGGGUUAAGUAGCACCUGGAAUGGUUAUGUGGCCAGGCACCUCCCCCGUGAGUCUCCCGAGUGGCUUGGCGGGUGGCUGGCAAGGGAGGGACCCUUGGCACCGCUGCCCCUUUGUAUCAGCUGCCAGCAGGGCCUUUGAUGUACACAGAGGCCACCUGCCAGCCAAGUGCACUGUGGGACACGGGCACUGGGAGGAGGGGAACUACCCAGGACCCGCCAGAGGGCUCCUCAGCCGCCACUACCAUCUGGUACAGCAGUGGGAUGGCUCGGGAGCAUUUCCCCAUCUUGCAAGGAUGGAGAUGCUGCACAGAACCCCAGUAUUGUGGAUGAGGUAUUAACCUCAAAGCAAGGUGGGGCCUCUCACUGUUCGAGCUUCCUUCCUUACAUGUUAGACUGACACAAGCAGACCAAACUCCAUAGUCCGUCUGAUGUCCUUGUGGGCAUUGAAUGCAUUAAUAUAUUUAAGGCGCCCAUAGUGUGUGUGUGAAUCCAGUAAUAGCAGCACCUAAUACUUACGGAGCACUUAAACACUGCAUUAAUUGCUUCAAUCUUCAUAACUAGGUAGUACUAUUGUCCGCACUUUAUAGAUGAGAAACUAGAGCUCAGAAAUGUGGAGUAACUGCUGCAGGAUCACACAGCCCAACCAAAGCCAGUCCAGAGUUCAGUCCCCAUGGUCUGGUCGGAGACACUGCCUUGCUGUGCGUUGCCCCCGUGACUCAGAUGGUACGCUUCGCUUCUCUGCUUAUCAUGACGGUAAAGACGGCCACCACGAUGGCAGAUGACCACGACGGUGGUGGUGGUCACGGCCCGCUUGUGUCGCAGUUAUUUCUUGUUGGGAUUUUGAAUUCAUUGCAGUUGAUCCUCAGAGCGGGCCGGGAAAGUGAGUAAGUUUAAGGUGGGAGGAGAUCGGGCUUUAAGAGGGGACCAGAGACCUAUUGAGCCACACUGUUGAGUGCAAGGCCAGGGUUGGGGAGGCAUGGGUGGGUGCAGAGGCCACAGGCCACCGGCUGUGUGUUGACACCAGGCUGCUGGGCCCCUGAGGCCGCAGCAUGGGGAGGAUGGGCGGUCACCCCCAAUCCUGCUGUCCUAUAGAAGUUGGGCUGGUCCCUAAGGACUGGAGCCGGAGGGCGUGUCUAGACCCCUGCAGACCCUGUCAUGAAGCUGGUGAGACCCAGCCACUGUCUACUGCGUGUGACACUCAUUGCCCUCCCCGGAGCCCUGGGAUGCUCAUAUUGCUCUCCUGCAGACAUUCGGAUCUGUUGGAUCUGUUACUUACUGCCACAGCAAGGCCGAGUAACAGACAGCAGAACCCAGCUGGCUUUCAGUAGCAGGCAUUUAUGUUCACCCUCUCGGGGUGGUUGGCCGAGUGGUCCUGCCAGUCCCGCCAUGGGGCUGGGCUGCAUGCUGGCCAGUCAGAUUCCGCUGGAGUGACUGGGGUGUUUCUGCUCCCCCAUGACUUCCAUCUCUUUUCAGGUCCUGCAUUCUAGCCAGGGAAUAUCCUUUCAUGAGAGCAGAGCCCAAGAACUUAAUCACUCCUCACAGGGCAAGGCCUCUCCAUGCUUCUGCUGGACUCGCCUUUGCUGACCUGCUUAUUGGCAAAGGCAGAUCGCAGAGCCCAGCUCGAUGUCAGCAUAGGAGGACUCCACAGAGGACACGGUAGAGGGCAAAGAUGCAGGGGCAGGAGAAGUAUUGGGACCUUGUUUGCAGUGGAUCGCAGAUGAAGGCAUCUGAGGUGGCCCUGGGACUUGUCUGAGCUUUGCUGUCACCUUGACUUCAGAGUGACUGCCUCACUCAAGAGAAGAAGGGCACGAACAGGCCCUCAGCAGAGACUGCCUGCCUGGCAGUUCACCUAAAGAGAUGACAGUCCAAUUCCCUUGCCCAUGAGCACAGGGCUUUUCCAAGGUUGCCCGACUGAGACUUGGCUCUGCCAGCGUCAGUGUCACCCGCCUGUUCCCAGUGUCCCCAACUGUGAGAGACAGCCCCACCUGUGCCCAGGUCAUGGCAAGGCGUGGCCGUUCUGCUACCCAGUGCUGCUUGGGUGCUGGAGCCUGCCAGGAGCAGAAGCUGGAGAAGAGAAAACGUGACAUCUUCUUACAGCCUUGGUAGAGCCAUUGAUUUCCCAAAAGCAUCUUCCCCCGGGUGGCCACCUGGAUGCUGGGACACAGUGGAGACUUCUUUGGGAAACACUGAGUCUUUAGAGAAAUUUUCUCAGUUAGCAGCCUCGUAGAGAAUUGAAGCCUUUGAGCCACAGGUUAGCUGGGGCUGCCCCAGUGAAGAUACAUUUCCAGCCUUGAGGAUGAAAACUUUAGUUGGAGCUCUGAUUUUGGAACUAACCUCUGAGUAAGCCCUUUGACUUAUGUAGUGGAGCUGUCUCUCCUUUUCCCUUACUUCACCCACGUCACAGCCCUAAGGAGAAUAAAUGCUGAAUUAAGUCUCUGACCCAUAGCAUCGUGGUGACUCCCUUAAGAACAGGGCUCCAUUGCCUGCAGACGCUAUGUGUCUCUUGCUUGCUUUCCCAUACCAAGAAGUCAAGUCUGAGGUUGGCUUCUGGCUGGGCAUCUGAUUUGUCAGCUUACCUCCUCAGCCUUGCUGAGUGGGAGCUUAAAGGUAGCAUCUCACACAUCUUUUAUCCUGACCUCUGGCCUUAUUGAAGUGCAGAGCCUUGAAUAGUAUAUUAGUCAGGUUCACUGUCAUUGGAACACAGUGUCUGAUAGAAUUUAAAGGAGAGGAGACUUAAUUUUAUGGUUUAUGGUUUAUGGUUUCAGGCAUUCAGUCCAUGGAUGGCUGGCUCCAAGGCAGAAACUUCAUGGUGGAAAUCCAGGCAGAACAAAGGUGCUUAGUUCCUGGCAACCAGAAAGAAAAGCAGGGAACAGUACCUGAAAAGAAGGUACAAGGGACCAGACAUAGUCCCUAAGGGCAUGUCUCCAUGAAGCACCCAGACAUAUACAGAAGUGUGGUCCACCAAACCCCCAUGUAGAUCCUAAAUCCCAAUAAGCUGACACUCCACCCUAACCUCCACAAAUGGAGAGAGGUAUGAGAUACGAGAUGUCUUCUUCCUCUUCUUCCUCCUCCUCCCCCCUCUCUUCCUCCUUCCCUUCUUUCUCCACUGUAUACUUUUUCUUUGGGAAAUAUAAACCUAGUUACUUAUUUUAUCAGGUGUAGAAAGAGAAUGCCUUUCCCUCUGCAAACACUAGCAUUCCCUUCCUCUAGAAAACUACUACUAAUCCUCGAGGACCUGAUGGAAUAAUUCCUUUUGCCAGGGGACUUUCCUCUUAGCUCCAUCCCCUGUAGGGUGGAGGUGCCCAUGGUUUAUUUUGGAAUAUCACAUCACCAGGGUUUUGUUCUUGUCCAGGUAGCCUUUAUUCUAUGUUCUGGCUUGUCUCAGUGUGGUGGUAGGGAGGUCCCCGAAGCCCUCUGGGGGCAGUGAUGUGACUUCUUUAUUUCUGACCCCUGUGCUUACAACAGUGCUGAGUACAACAGGAAUGUCACACUUGUGUGUACAAGAUGGACAAACACAUGUGUAAGUAGUGACAGCUUUGGUCCAGCAAAGAUCUCGGGCUCCAGGCUGCUCAGCUGUGGCUUGGGACGUGGAAUGCCAACAGGUCACAUAGACAAGGCCCCGCAUGCUUGGCAAAUGUGUGGGAAGCUGGAAAUGGUCCAGCCUUAAACUUUGACAGUCUCAGGUUUGAUCCCUUUCCCUGCCAGUGAGGUUGAAUAAUUCACUUUACUCCUGCCCCAUGCCUCAGUUUCACCAUCUGUAAAACAAAUAGAAAUGUUUGCUUUACUGGAUUUGUUGCUCUUCAAGUGAGAAGACUUGGUUAUGAAGCAAUCACUCCCUUUUACUUUCUGUGUGACUUUGUGUCACUUCCCAACUUCUCCUAUCUUAGUUCCUUCAGCUGGAUCAUGUGAUCACAGUGCCUGUCCUCCUGUAUUUCCACAGCUAAAGAAAUAGUGAGUGAAUGGUGGAUGGAAAAACACGCUGUAAAAUUCUCUGAGCUGGCCACUGUGUACCUCUCUACAAGAGGCCUGCAACCCUCUGGUUCUCGGGAGAGCACUCCAGCACCCCAUCCCUGCUGAGGGGAGCAAAGAGGGGAGGAGGCACACCGUGCAGUCAGGGUUUCCCGUGUGCCAUCUGACCAGUCCCUGCAGCAGUGUGCCAGGAGGCGAUGGUUCGUACAUAGUGCUGCAUGGUGCUCACCUGUCUCCUGAGUGACUGCUUGUUGGGGAGCUGGCCCAUGUAUGCAACAUGUAUUGAUCACUUUUGAUCCCUUUCCUUCCUUUCUCUCACCUCCCCCGUCCAGUCCCCACCCCCAUCCCCUGAGUCGGCCUUCUUGUUUCCUAUCAUCUGUCCUUUGUCUUACUCACUUAUUUACUUAUGUUUUAGGUUUCUCAUGUAAGAGAAACCAUGUAACAUUGAACCUCCUGUGUCAGGCUUAUUUCACUUAAUGUUACGGUCUCAAGUUCAUCCACUUUCCUGUGAAAUCCCUCUUACUUGUUCUCCCUUCUUGUGAAGAAGCUUUCAAUGAAACUUCACCUGUUAAGUGUUUAUUUUCUCACUUUGUUACCCAAACGUAUCUGCCAGUUGGAGUUUCUGAAUUGGGCUUCCAGGCUGAAUUGAUGAAAUUCUGGCAAGUGUCAAGCAAAGAAGCUUGAUCUUUUGUUCUGUUUAAAUUUUUAUUAGUGCAUAUGAAUUACAUAGAAUACCAAGUGGAUUUUAUGUUGGCAUAUUGGUACACACAUGUAACGUGCUUUGAUAAUUUUCACCCUCUCAUUAUCACCUCCCCUCCUCUCUCCCCUGUUCUCCUCAUCUCUGAUGGUCUUCAAGAAGCUUGAUAUUUUAGGUGACAAUUGUGGCCUUAUUGGAAAGCAAGGUUCAAUUUCUGGUAGAUUCCUUGACCGAGCCCGAGAAGACCCCCGAGGGGAGUCCUGAGAUGCACUGGAUAACUGGCUUAAACUUUCAUCUUGUGCUUUGAAAUCAAGGAUUUGGAUGACGUGUUCAUGAAGGUUCUUUGAGCUCCAGACCUCUUCUCGCCACUUCCCCCACUCAGCCACAAGCAGCAUUUCUGGUCAGCUCGUGUUAUGUAGCAUUUGCCCUGUGCCUGGCUCGCGCCUGGCUCUUCCCUGGUAAGAGGGUGUUUCCCAGACAGCUGCCUGUCCACUGCAGCCACUUGGGGGAGGCUGAGAAAUAGGGCAUAAUUUCCAGCAAGAUUAAAUGCUAAGAGGGAAGUGGGGCAUCCUAACGGGCUCUGGUGCUCUGUGGAUCAUUACGAGAAUGCUGUAAAUAAUCAGGUCGCCUUUUCCCAGCCCUGCCCACUUGGACCCUUUUAGGGUCAUUCCAUCCAUCCGUGGAUAGGGCUUGCUUCCCGCUAGCCACCUCCUUGGGGACAGAUCCAUUAGCACCCUGCUCGUAAUGGUAGGCUGCCGUGUCCUGCCGUGGAAGGUUUUCUGAGAAGGUGCAGGCUGUCUCGUUAGGCCCGGUGAGAGUGGCCCUUCUGAAACCUUGUGCCCUCAAUAGCUGGGCUGGUCCUGGGCAGCCAAGCUAAUGCUCCUUGGUAGGAAGGGUGGCGGACCCCUCCCUCCUCCAGUGUCUUCAACCUGGGCCUCCGAGCACAGAGGGACCUGCUGAUCCUCAGACCCUGCGGAGAGGAGCGAGGGGCAGGCCACUGUGGAGGGAGGGGCCCUGCUCUGCACCCAGUGCCCUCCUCUGGGCGGCCAGCAGCCCUUCUUUCUCCUGGCCACCGCAGGCCUCCUUGCCUUUGUUCCUGGAUUCCUCUAGCCGUUGAUGUGUGAAAUUGGAGCCACCUGGCAGCCCAGUUGGUAGAGGAUGCCGGGCACCUGCUCAGGUUCCUGCUUCCUCUUUCUCUCUUCCUUCAUCUUCCUCCCUCCUUUCCUCACCUGGCUGCCACCUAAGUCUUCUCCUCCUUAGUCCAAUUCAGAGAACAGCCCGGACUGCCUGCCUUGAGGAGCCUUCCCAUCCUGCCCAUCUGGCCUCUAGCCAGCACCUUGGUGCCCUCCCCUCCCCUGCCCUCAUCCUAGGGUGAUGCCCAGUGGUGUUCAUAGCCAUUGUUGGGCUUGUUCAGCUCCUGUGGGUGCUGCGUCCUUCCAGCUGGGUGGGCUUCAGGAAGUGCCCCAUCUGGGCAUCAAAGGGUGGAGAUUGCAAGGCUGUGGGGGGACUUCUAGCCACAAAGAGCUGUGGGGACUUUUGAGUAGGAGGCUCUGUUGAAAAUGCACCGAAAGUGGCAAAGGGUAGUAGCUGGACCAAUGGGAAGGCCAUCAGGACAGCUGGGCAUUGUGGUCACCUGGGAGGGCUGCAGUGGCCUGGCAAAGGGUGGGCUGGGGGGCGUGGAGAGAAGUCAUAGGAUCCUGACUGUGUCUUGAAGGUAGAAGUGGCUGGGGGACUGGAUAUGGGGUGCAAGAGAGAAACAUCUUUAUCUCGUGCAGUUAGAGACCUAAGUUUCUUUCUUUCUUUUUUUAAAUAUUUUUUUUGUUAAAUUCUUUUAUUGGUACAUUGUAGGUAUACAACACAAUUACUUUUCUCUUUGGGAAUUGUACCUUUACAUGAUGCAUCUUGGUUCUGAUUUUUUCCCUAUUCCCAGCCCUCCCUUCACCCCCUCCACUUUUCCCUAUUUACAAAGACUUUAUUUCCAUUUUUUCCAUUUAGAGACCUAAGUUUCUACUUGAACUCAGCAAGGAGAGUGGAGGUGUUUAUCUUGCUUGUUGUCUAGGUAGGGUGGAAUUGUUCAGUUUGAGAUGCUGGUCGGACAGCCAAGGGGUGAUGACUAUUGAAGAAGAGGCUAGAUGCACAAACCUGAGCCCGGAAGUCUCUUUCCUCUGUCUCCUCACCUGGGCUGUGGCACUGACUUUGGUGAACACUCGUUUAGCUGUCACUGUGAGGGAGUUUGUUUUGUUUUGAAUGAAGUUAACACUUGAAUUAAAAGACUGAAGAAAGCACAUCACCCUCUGUGAUGUGGGUGGGCCUCAUCAAAUCAGCUACAGACUCUCAGGGCAAAAGCAGCAGCAGGAAAUAGACAUUUUGACUACAUGCUGCCUUUCAACUACAGCUGCAGAAUCAGUGCUUCCUUGGUCUCAGGCUGCCAGCCUGCCCUGCACAUUCAGGCCUUGCUAGCCUCACGGUCAUGUGAGCCAAUCACACACACACACACACACACACACACACACACACACACACACCCUGUUGAUUCUGUUUCUCUGGAAAAUCCUCACUGAUAUAUGGAGUAAAGGGUAUACUUAGAUCCCCAAAUUUGGGAUAGAAAGGGAUGUAUUUGGAUUAGCAUUUGAUGAGACAAGUUUCUUCAGCCUUGAGGCUGGGUGUAAUCACCAAACAAGCAGAGAGGAGCGAGUCAGUUGGGCUGUACAACAGAGGUUGAGAGGUUCGGAAACUUGUGGGCGGUGUGUCUUUGUGUGGCUGACUGGUCUCUUCCAGGGUGCCAGGCUCCUCCCCAUUCCGCAGUGCUUCCUGGAGGUCUGGGAAGUGAGCUCUGUGGGCCACCUCUUCAUUUGGGUGCCUCACCCUCCCCACAUCGUGGCCCUUCCAGCUUCCUGGGUAGCGGGGAGACAUCCAACAGAAAUUGAUUGUUCCGGCAUCUUCCUUCCAGUCCAUUUUCAGUUCCGCUGCCCCUCAGUCUCUUGAGGCCUCUUGGUACUGAGUAAUCCCAUUUAUUAAAACAUAUGCAGCUUCCUUACUGGCAAGUGUUGAUAAAAAUAGUUCUGCAGCCCCAAGGGGCAGGGUCAUUUGAACUGCAUGACUCGAAAACAUUUGGUGUGAAUAAUGAAAAGUGCAGGGCCAUGGUGAUGGAUUUCCCUCGCCCUCUUUGUUCCUUCCUCUUGUUGAGAGGCAGAAUGUUUAACCCGUAUUUUCCAAGAACUGCGUAGGUGGGUUGCCAGGGACAAUUGAUUUUUUAGAGAAGUAUUGUUCUUCUGGAUGUGGAAACCAUGAAGUAAAGCAUAACAUUGAGCAAGAGUCGUCCCGAUGGCCAGGCCCGGGCUAAUUAUGGGACAGUGUUGCAAUCCAUGCAUCCGGGCUGUCCUGUGGCAUAGGUGGAGGAUCCCUUGUCUGAAAUGCUUGAAGUCUCCUGCCAUACCACCCUGAACAUGCCCGAUCGCGUCUGAAAUGCUUGAAGUGUCGCGUUUUGGACUUGUUCAGAUUUGGGAAUAUUUGCAUGUAUAUAAUGAAAUGUCUUGAGUAUGGGAAAUUUAUUUAUGUUUCAUAGAUUCUUUCUGCACACGGCCUGAAAGUAGUUCUGUACAAGAGUUUCAAUGAUCUUGUGCAUGAAUCAGUUUCAUGGCUUUACGGUUUAUAACUAGAUGUCCCCCAAGAGCCUCCUCUGCUCACUGACGGAGCUUUGGGAGGUGCCUGGAUCAUGGGUACAGCUGACCGGGACGCCUGGCCAGAGGUGGGUCACUGGGAGCGUGGCCUGGUGGCCUGGAGAGGUAGGACCCCCUCCGCAGCCCUCCUCCUCUGCUUCCUGCCUGCCUCGAUGUGAACAGGUCUUCCACCAGGGCCCUCCCACCAUCGCUGGCCAUGGAAGGACAGGGGCUUCCAAACUGUGAGCCAAAAUAAACUCCUCCUUUAAGCUGUGAGUGUCAGCAUUUUGUCCCCGCCAGGAGUGGUGCGGAAUUUUCCAUUUGUAGUGUCAUGUCAGCACUCAAGUUUCAAAUGUUGGAGCAUUAUGGAGUUUCAGAUCAGGGAUGGGCAGCCUGCAUAAGGUCAUCAUUUCUCCCCAGGGACAGUGCUCCAGGCCCAGGAUAAUCAAGGCCUUGCUCUAGUCCACCGUCAAGUGGAUCAUCUGCUUUCUUAGGCCGGGAUGGUUCUGAAUGGGAAGGGGGCAUCCUGCAGGGCAGAAGAGACCCGGGCUCUGUGUGCGGAGCUCUGAGCUCCGGCCCUGCCUCUGCCUUGCAUGGUGACCUGGGAGAGGCCCUCAGCUCUUGGGCAGCAGUGUCUCUAUCUGUGAGGAGUUGGGUGAGAUGGCUCCUAGGGAAGGGAACCCUGAACAUGGUGGGUGCCUGUCACCAGCAAAGGAGCCACCUUCCCUGAGCCCCAGCUUGCUGCAGUACAGUAGGCAUGGGCUUUGGAAUGUGACAAAGUGCUCUGACAUUCAGUUGUGGUCAGUGAGUUGGAAGGCUCAGUGGGUGGCGCCUACAGACAUACAAAGCCCCUAGUCUCCACAGCAGCUCAGCAUCCCUGUGUCAUCAUAGGAUUUCACAGGCUGGGGCCACGAGGCCAGGUAGCACUUUUGACUUAUGAAGCUCUGAAAUCAGGACAGGUAUUCAAGAGGCCAGGGGAAGCAAAGCCAGACUGGAAGCUGGGUCAUCACAGUGCCGAUGGAUAAAGCAUCGCACGAGGUGUGGAAGCUUUGGUGAGGAGGUCACACUGUGGCCGCAGCCUUCGACAUCCUGCUCUGCUUCUGACUCCCCCUGUUGUACCCACAUGUUUCCCAGUCCCAUAUGUAAAACAGGAGCGGUGACACCGCCUUCCAUCCAGGGAUAUCAAGGAGAGGAGAAUGGGCUGUUCCACAUGAGACACUGUAGAAUGAUACCUGGCACAUAAGAAGUGCUCAGUAAACAAGCUACUGCAUGUGCACACACAGGCACACACAGCUCAUGUGUCAUCUUAUCAAGAGCCCUUUCCUGGCCUCUGGACAGCACCCACCUCACACCCGACUCCCUCGCCUUUCUCAGUCCCAGUCUCCAGAGCACGCAUCACCUCCUGACCUCUACACUGUGCUUGUGUGUGUUGGAUGCCUGCCACCCCUGCCCUUCUAUGAGCCCCAUCAAUGGGGAGAUUUCUGUUGGUUUUGUGUAACACCUUGUUCCGUGUAACACCUUGUUCCAUGGAACCUGCUAGGUGCUCAGUAAGUUUCUGCUGAGUAAACGAGUCUCUGUUCUACACAGGUCCUCUAGGCCCAGACUUAGGCCCAGAGAGGAGAAGUAACUAGUGGAGGUCACCCUGAGACUGGAGGGCAAAGCUGGGCCAGGGGCCGGUGCUCUGAUCUGAACCCUGCUAUCUCUGUGUGGAGACAAGCGAGCAAACAAAAGGAAACGCAGCGCAGUGCCUGCCACACAGUAAGGACUCUCAGAAGUGAAAUGCAGUGAUUCUGCUUGCAACAACUGACCUCGCUCCAACACCCCCUUUGGCUGGUCAGCCUCUCUGAGCCCGGGUCGUGUCUCUGACACAGCACCAGCACUUAACCUCCGUGGGACAGUGAGGACUUCUGACGUUCAGAAUAAAAUGCCAGGAGCGGGCCCAGAGCAGUCGCUGUGACUGUGGCCACAUACUGUUGUCUUUGCCAUUGUCUGUCAGCACGUUGUGUUACACUUACAUGCUACUCAUCUUUGACCCUCCUAGGGUGGGGACAGCGUGUGCAUCACCACAUCCCCACCUUCUCCCACAGUUCUUGGUAUGUGGGUGAGGGACAUGGAUGGUAAGGUCCACAAGUGGAUGGCUAAAGGACAAACAAGCAGGCUGUAGUUUGUCGGACCACUUGGCCGGUUGUCUGAGGACUGUUUCCUGGAGUCUUAUCCUCUCGCCUCAGAAUCAGGCCUAGGACAACGUUUGGUUGUCCCAUUGUUCCCAGAUAACGCGCCCUAUCUGAGCGUUUCCGAGGGGACAGCUGGGGCACACCCUACGUGGCUGCUCUAUCGCCUGCUGCAUGUGGACCCCCACGGGUGCCAGUCCGCUGCCGCAAGGACCUUUCAUGUGGCCGGGCUGCCCUUCAUUCCUCCCUGCCCCCUGUGAAAUGUACGUAAGGAAGCAUUUUUCCCUCAACCAUUCUGUUCUGGAAAACGCGUUAAAUAAAAACACUUGGUACUUGUCUGUCUCUUCAUAGUGUGACCCACAUCUUCUAGGUUGACCUCACAAACGCCUUGUCUGAUGAGUCAACUCUUAGCCCUCUUUUACCAUUGGAGAAACAGAGGCUCAAAAAUGCAAUGACUGCUAGGUUGCAUAGCAUUAGUAAGGCAGCCCAGGACUGAGCCAGCCUCUACCUCGACCCCGUGCUUUUCCCCAUGCAGACCUGCCCGGCUGAAUGCGUUGAUCUUCUCUGCCCUUAACUGUGUCCAGCAGGGAUUUAAGAGGUCUGUUACCAACGUAAUGACCCGGGUGCUCCGAAGUCUGCUCGCUCUGAGUGACAUCCAGACCACCCGGGAGAGGUGGGAGCGUGUGAAUCCUGGUGAGCUGUGGUGCCUUCAGGAGAUAGCUCAGCAGCACAGUGGUGGGCACUUUCUCCUCCGCCAUGCUUCCCUCUCCCGUCGGAUUUGACCCUCUUAUCAGCUGCUCUUGAAGUGAGUUGGAUGUUGGAAAUACCUGGGGAAUCUAAAAGUCCUGCUGCCGGUGCCCUGCUCCUAACUGUUUUGGUUUCAUUUGGAACCCUGGGGCCUGGGCAUUGGAAUUGACAUCUCCCCAGGGACAUGCCCGUUUUAGUGUCCUUACUCUGGGAAAUGGGGGACUAACACGAAGCUGGCAGCCCCAACCCUACUUCAGGUAGAAGUUCUACCGUUCCUAAAGCAGACUCAGCUGAAACUCGCUCCGCUUUGCUCAGAUUCUGCACAGCUCAUGUGUGGGGAGAAGGGAAGCUGAGGGCCAAGGUGACGGGAACAGUCUCCCAGCUUCGUGAGCUGUGCCCUCCUAAGCGUCAGGUGCUUUUCCAUGCACUUUGUAGACCCCACCCAGCUCCCUUUCACGCUACCCCCAUUGCACAGACAAGAAGACUAUGCAGCAUCAGUAAGUAUGUUGUCAAGGUGACGGUGCAGAGGUGAGGUCUGAAGAGCAGUUUCCUGGCUCUGGAGGCCACUCCUGAGCUACACCUGCAGCCUUGCAGCUGACCUGGGAACCGCGCUGUCCCACUGCACAUGCGCCUGAGGAUUCCCCUCACCGGUCUGUCCUGGUGCUGCUGAAGCAGAGAUGCCCUUUGUAUCUUCUGGCCAUCUGGAAGUUUUCUGGUUGUGGUCAGUGGGUUCCUCCAAGGUUCCUUGAGCUCCAAAUUGCAUAGUUGGCCCUUGCUGUGCUUUCCUGGCCUGGGCUGGACAUGUGGAUGAGUCCUGAUCUCCAGGGAGAUUUGCGUCUCUCCUGCCUUCACUGUCUCAGGGCCCCAGAAGAAGGCUGAGUAGCUCUGUGACAAGAGCUUGGCAUCUUGCUUAGUGCUCAGCUUGACUCUGGACCAGGCCACCGUGGGCAGAGGAGGCAGGGAGGGAGGAAGGGUUUCUUAUUUCAGAAGUGAACUCUUGAGUUGUCCUAGUGCUCUUGUGGACAUGUUAGCCGUUGCUCAGCAAGCACCAAGGCCUCAAGUGGGUGGGCUGAUGGCAGUGGAGACUUUGCUACUGUUUCAGCGAGGGACACGAAGGUCUGCUAAAACGUGCUGGGUGAAGUCUUCGAACUUCCCCUACAGAAGCACAGGCGCAGGUACAGAGUGAUUCAAAAUGGAAAGAAAAGGACUCAUUUUACAUGUUCACUAGUUGGAAAUUAGUUAAUCAGGAUAGCUCUAUAAAAUGGAAUGCUGAACAGCCAUUAGAAUUGAUAAUAGAAAGUGUGAGCUGAUGUAUACAUUCACUGGUUCAACUGAGCCUACCAGAAGAUGUACUUACUUCAAAACAUCAUGCUGUGAGCUGUUAGUAAAACGUACAAUUUUUGUUAAUUAAAAAUUAGUGGCUUUAUGAACUCACAGGGAACAGUCUUGAAGAUACAUUAAUAUCAAAGAGCAACAUUAACGUUAGCAAUGUUGACUGAAUAAAGCAAAAGCAAGGCGUUGACAGCACUGUGAGGUUUGCUGACAACUCUGUGCUUAUGUGCAGUCCCUAGUCCCAUAUUGGCCCCUGAAAUUCUGCACACACAAGAGCACUCACAUAAGAGCUUUGCUGUCUGUCGCUUUCCUGCCCCAGCCGUCAGUCCUAGUGCUGACCUGGGACCUUCCUGAAAGCAGGAAGGGCUGGCCUGGCGUGCAGGGGCAUGGCAGGGCCACACCCAGAGCACCUGUCAGAUUGGUUUUCUGUGGGUGUUGGUGGAUGAAUGCAAAGAGCAGAGUUCUCUUUCACCAUUUCCUCCUACCUACUGCUCCUUGAACACACGCAGCUGGAUCUAAGUCCCUUCUCCCUCUCCCAAGUCCUGUCCCUGCCUCCACUUUGUUCCUUGAGAUUUUCUCCUCCACAAGGCUUCCUCACUGUCUCCAGGUUACAGUGAAGCAAGGAGGAGAAGAAACUAAGCAGACAUUGUCAGUUAGGUAGGGCGGGUCUGACUUAAUUGAUUAAUUUAGUCAUAGGAGCCAAGCCAACCCAGAAGCUGGGAUCAGUCUCCCCCUGAUGGUGUGCUGGUGAGUCAGACUUGCUGGGGUUUGAGUCCACAUGGCUGUCUGUGACUGUGGCUGGGUUAUUUAACCUUGCGGGAUCUCCAUUUCCUGAUCUGUAAAGAAGGCUAAAAGUGCUUCUCUUGAGGUUGUAGUGCGGAUUAAAUGUGAUAACACGAGUGAAAGUGCCUUUGAUGCAGAAGGAAGGGCAAAGUGCUUAUUGUGUUGGGAGCAGAGUGAGAGGGCCCCAUUGUUCUCAGGGGCCUCCUCCUUCCUAGGUAGAAGUCUCAUUCCCAGGGCAGAAAAGGUUCUCAUUUGGCUCUCAUUCUUUCAUGCAGUGCCCUUCUCUCAGCCGCUUUCUCUCUUAGGUUUCAGCCUAAGCAAAUAAAUUAUCCUGCUCUACCGGGCUCUGUGUUCUGUAGCCAGCCAUAUGUUGGAGCUUGAUAGAGAUUGUUAUCGGGCCGGAUAAUGUUACCCAGCAAGGGGUGACAUUUCUUAUCAGAAGCCCUGCCGAAUCAGAGAUAGGAGGGCUUUCUUUUCGCUGGCCACCAGGUCUGUGUGCAGGGUUGGCAGGGAAGUGUGAGAGGAUCCUCCUGGGAGUGGACAGCCGGGGCCGUCUCGGCUUGGGUUGUCCUUCGUCUCCUGAGACAGACACUCUGGAUAGCCUGCCUAGUUGGAAGUAGCCCUUCGGAGAUCUUUUGUGCUUUGGAAGCACUUGCUAGAGACCAGGUAGGGGAAUGUGAAUGAGGAAGCGGGAAGUGCUGUGAUGCUGGCCCGGCCGUGGAUGGAUGCUGGCCUUUGCGGGACCCUCCCCUUCCUGGGACAGGCAGACAGGCCCCUGCCGCAGAGCGUGGCCUGCGAACUCUGCUGUGGCUUUGCAAGGCGGAGGCUGCUGAGCCCUGGUGCCCACCAAGGGCUGGGCUCUUGUAGUGUUGGUUUCCGGGGGGCUCCCUUGGGCCCCGCCAAGCCCACCCCAUCCUCCUUGGCCUUCUUCUGGCCUCCUUGGCCAUCCUUCUCUGGCCUUGUUCCAGGUCAGCCUGUGUAGAUGUCCUCAAGGGCAGAUGUGACCUGGGGCUCCUGUACUUCCCAUUUGGGAGGCACUGGCUGGAUGGGAAGGCAGCAAGAGAGUGGGGGCCAGGGUUUAUUCUUCCUUUGCUAUCCAAUGGGUCCCUCACUGUUUCUAUACAGAAGACCUUGGGUGUGAAUCUUGAUCCUGGUAUGGGUUUGCUAUGAUAUCAGGCAAGUUGGGCCUCUUUCUACUUCAGUUCUUCAUCUGCGGCCUAUGGAUGACAUUACUUUCCUCUGUGUCCCUCAGCACAUGUUUCUGGGUCUUGUUGAUCUCCAGCUUUGCAUUGGCCCUGGGAUUCUAGAGCAAGGGGCAGUGCUGAGCUCCCAGUGUUCCCGUCUUGAGAUCAGAGCUCAUUGCACAUGAGAGAUCCAGGAUGGGCAGAAGAGAUUAGAGUUCACCAUGUGAUUUGGAGCUGCAGUCUGUGUUGUAGACACAUGCUCAGGGCUUGUCCCCUCCUGAUAUUUUGGGAAGUCCUACCCUGUCCAGUCCUGCUGUCAAGUAAUAAUCUGCUAUCAUCAGAAAGGGAAGAAGAAGUGGUUUUUGUUCCUUCCUGGAUCAUUCGAGUCAGCACUUCCUGCCUCUGCUUCCUUCCUGUUGACCUGAUGAUCCCUGAGGCUUGGUUUGUUCCAUCUCUUUUCCCUCCUAUCCAUACUGAGCUUUCUAUUAGGGGAUAGAGAUUUUCUGUCUUACUGACUUUUCCUUUCUCUCACAUGUCUUCCCAUUGGCCAACUCAAGAUUUUGAAAGCAGGAGUCUGACUAUGUCCCUCUCCAGCUCAGUCACAGUCAAUAGGACAGUCACCCCCAGGACUGAAGUCAGACCUUUCAGUAUAGCACUCACGGUCCACUUCAACAUGAGCUUACCCAUCCUGAUCACCUCUGAACCUCUUGUAUCAGGUGUCAGUCCACGUAAGCAGGUUUUACCAAGAGGUAAAACCUUUAAACCUACCACUUUUUCUCUGUGACUUCUGGGCUUUGAUCCCAUCAUUUCUUCUCCUGUGGAUGCCUGAGAGGUCUACGGGCUCUGGUUGGGUUCAGACUCCAGCGCCACCAGUUGCUGGCUCUAUGGCCAUGAGCUAGUCACUUCACUGCACUCCGCUGUCUUUUGGUUGCUGUUUGUAAUAUCUUAAGCCUGUCUGUAUGUCCUUAAAUAUGCAGAAGCAAGUUUCUUACAUCCACCGUAUCGUUGGAUCUUGUUUUUAUUUAUCCAUUCAGCUACUCUGUAUUUGAUUGGAGAAUUUAACCUAUUUGCAUCCAAAGUAAUUACAGAUAGGCAAGGAUUUAGGAUUGCAAUUUUUUUUUCUGGCUAUUUUAUAGUUCCUUUAUUCUUUUUUUCCCUCUUGUACUGUUUUUCUUUAUGAUUUAAUGUGGUUUUUUGCUUGUUUGUUUCAGUAGUGUGCUUUGAUUAUUUUCUUCUUGAGUAUCUACUAUAGGCUUUUUCUUCAUGGUUUUUAUGAGGCUUUCAUAAAACAUUUAGUUUAUAAGGCAUUAUAAGUGUAUGACAACUUUGACACAAAAAACUAUAUAUUAACUUCUUCA